rnacentral:tRNA from 1 species
GCCAGCGUAGCUCAGUGGCAGAGCAACUGUUUUGUAAACAGUAGGUCGUCGGUUCAAUCCCGACCGCUGGCUCCA